UAGAGACUUAGGAUAAACAAACCAAGGACCUUCAAAGUCCUAAAUAAGAGCUACCCUCUUAGUCCCUGCCUAAAACCUAUAGAACUAUUCUACAUCUCCUGAUUGCAAAUCAGAUACUUUAAUUAAACUAAGGCUUCCAGGAGUUGGAGGGCCUCGAUCCCACACAACAUUAGUUAACAGCUAACACGCCAACCAACAGGCAUCAACUCCAUUACUCCAUUAAGCCUAAGGGCCACACUUUUGGACCGCCAUUUGAUUUGCACUCAAACACUUACUUAAGCUAACAUAAU
rnacentral:misc_RNA from 1 species